AAAAAAGAGUAAAUGGAGAAGACGAGAGAAAGCAGA
rnacentral:sRNA from 1 species